rnacentral:rRNA from 1 species
UACGUAGGGUGCAAGCGUUGUCCGGAAUUAUUGGGCGUAAAGAGCUUGUAGGCGGUUUGUCGCGUCUGCUGUGAAAGUUCGGGGCUCAACCCCGAACUUGCAGUGGGUACGGGCAGACUAGAGUGUGGUAGGGGAGACUGGAAUUCCUGGUGUAGCGGUGAAAUGCGCAGAUAUCAGGAGGAACACCGAUGGCGAAGGCAGGUCUCUGGGCCACUACUGACGCUGAGAAGCGAAAGCAUGGGGAGCGAACAGG